GUAGGUGGCAAGCGUUGUCCGGAAUUAUUGGGCGUAAAGCGCGCGCAGGUGGUUCUUUAAGUCUGAUGUGAAAGCCUCCGGCUCAACCGGGGAGGGUCAUUGGAAACUGGGGAACUUGAGUGCAGGAGAGGAAAGUGGAAUUCCACGUGUAGCGGUGAAAUGCGUAGAUAUGUGGAGGAACACCAGUGGCGAAGGCGACUUUCUGGCCUGUAACUGACACUGAGGCGCGAAAGCGUGGGGAGCAAACAGGGAUUAGAUACCCUGGUAGUCCACGCCGUAAACGAUGAGUGCUAAGUGUUGGGGGGGGUUUCCGCCCCCUCAGUGCUGCAGCUAACGCAUUAAGCACUCCGCCUGGGAGUACGGUCGCAAGACUG
rnacentral:rRNA from 1 species